rnacentral:rRNA from 1 species
CGAAGGGUGCAAGCGUUGUUCGGAAUUACUGGGCGUAAAGCGUGCGUAGGCGGUUUGAUAAGUUGGGAGUGAAAUCCCGGGGCUUAACUCCGGAAUUGCUUUCAAAACUAUCAAUCUAGAAUAUGGUAGGGGACAGUGGAAUUCCUAGUGUAGAGGUGAAAUUCGUAGAUAUUAGGAGGAACACCAGUGGCGAAAGCGACUGUCUGGGCCAUUAUUGACGCUGAGGCACGAAAGCGUGGGGAGCAAACAGGAUUAGAUACCCUGGUAGUCCACGCCGUAAACGAUGGGUGCUAGAUAUCGGGACUUUAGUUUCGGUGUCGUAGCUAACGCGUUAAGCACCCCGCCUGGGGAGUACGGUCGCAAGAUAA